rnacentral:tRNA from 1 species
GCGGGAAUGGCGGAAUUGGCAGACGCGCCAGGUUGAGGGCCUGGUAGGGGCAACCCUGUGGAGGUUCAAAUCCUCUUUCCCGCA